rnacentral:snoRNA from 1 species
AAGACUAUACUUUCAGGGAUCAUUUCUAUAGUAUGUUACAAGAGUAGUUAAAGCAAAUAGCUGUUUUACUGAAGGAUAUUGGAAGGAAACUGAGUUUUCAGA